UAAUUUAAGGUCUAACCUGCCCACUGAGAUUUUAAAUGGCCGUGGUAUUUUGACCGUGCUAAGGUAGCAUAAUCAUUAGUUUUUUAAUUAAAAACUGGAAUGAAAGGUUGGAUAAGAAAAUAGCUGUCUCUGUUAAAUUUAAUUAGAAUUUUAUUUUUAAGUUAAAAAGCUUAAUUAUUAUUAAAAGACGAGAAGACCCUAUAGAGUUUAAUUAUUUAAUAAAAAAUAUAUUUUAGUAUUUAUUUAUUUAUUUUAUUGAAUAAUUUAAUUGGGGUGAUUGAAAAAUUUAUUUAACUUUUUUUAUUUUAAAACAUUAAUUUAUGAGUAUAUGAUCCAAUAUUUUUGAUUAUAAGAUAAAAUUACCUUAGGGAUAACAGCGUAAUUUUUUUAGAAAGUUCAUAUUAAAAAAAAAGAUUGCGACCUCGAUGUUGGAUUAAAAUAAAUUUUUGGUGUAGAAGCUAAAAAUAUUAGGUCUGUUCGACCUUUAAAAUUUUA
rnacentral:rRNA from 1 species